UUCCGGGAAAACAAGCCCAGAAGGCGGCGGACACUCGCAUAAAGUCACGCAGUAGUACUCGGAGCCCGGGGUAGAACCUGGACUUCAAAUCUCUGCACUCCCGGCCGGGUGGUGGGCGCAUAUCCUGGGUAGCCUCUAGGAAGCGCUAGACACAUUUCUAGCCAGAGGAAGCUGCAGCCAGGCCUGGCAGUCUCCCCUGCUCCCUUCCACCAGCUUGGUUCCUGUUUCUGCUGGUCCUGGGAGCCCCCAGCAGAUGGACUGCCCUUAUCAGCCGGCUCCAGGCCAGAGGAGGAAUCCUCCGGUCACGUGUGGCUCUCUGGAGGGAGAGAGACCUCAUAAAUACAUACAGCCCACGCAGAGGAAGGGGGGAGGGUCAAGGGGAAAGAAACCUUGACAUUCUGGCGACUGGGCCAGGAUUAAAGUCCACCAGGCAUAGUCCUUAUUGGCUAUUUCUAUGAGGAAUCUCAAAUCCACAUGGCUUCCCUGGAUGACAACGCUGACUUUGACUAGCCCUGGGAUCUGGGGCAUUCCCAGUGUGCUGCUGGCUUGAUCCAGGCCUAAUCCUUUGCCCAGGACUGACCUUUCACAGUUUACAGAGCACUUUAUCUCCUGGCUCAGUGAAGUCUCACAGAACCCUCCAGAGAGAAGGGAGUUUAUCAUCACCCUCAAUUUACAGAUGAGGAAGCUGAGGCUGCGAUUGUAACUGACUGACUGCUGGCUACGCAGCUACAAGUGACCGAGUCCAGCCUGAAAGCCACAUAUAUUCUCCCACAAAAUCCAGAGCUGCCAAACACAUCCUCCUCCAUGAGUCUUGCUUUGUG
rnacentral:lncRNA from 10 species